CACGUGCACUCCAUGCACACACACACACUGCCGUGAGACAGAGCCAGCAGUAGUAUCUCCCAGCCUGUAUGUCAGAAGCAGAGACAUCAGAAGGCAUGUUCCAUUGACAAGAUGUUAUUUUCCAGCAUGAAAAAAAAAGAGUUCUGGAGAACUAACCCAUCUGAAACCCUUUUUUCAAAGGUUGUUUGCAGCCUCUCAUCAUGGAAACACAAGUCCACAAAGUUGAGUCAUUUGGCUGGUUUAUGUCUCCUGUGUAGAGGUGUAGCUUCACAAAAUGCCUACUGCCUGCAGGAAGAACUCCCUCCGAACAGAUUCUCUACCUGAGCAUCAGGGAAGGAAAUAAAUCUGGAACUGGUGACAUUUCAAGGACAAGGAAAACAACCGCUCGGAGAAUUAUCUGAUUCCGUUGGUGUUUAUUUUUACUUAUAUCUAGCAAUCUGCGCUCCAACAGAAGAUGCUUAUUUGCAGAAAAGAAGGCUGUCUCCUGUCUGGACUGGUGCCUGGUCUGGAGAAAAGAUGGCACUAAGGACAAGAG
ensembl:lncRNA